UACGAAGGGGGCUAGCGUUGUUCGGAAUCACUGGGCGUAAAGCGCACGUAGGCGGAUCUUUAAGUCAGGGGUGAAAUCCCGAGGCUCAACCUCGGAACUGCCUUUGAUACUGGGGAUCUCGAGUCCGGGAGAGGUGAGUGGAACUGCGAGUGUAGAGGUGAAAUUCGUAGAUAUUCGUAAGAACACCAGUGGCGAAGGCGGCUCACUGGCCCGGAACUGACGCUGAGGUGCGAAAGCGUGGGGAGCAAACAGG
rnacentral:rRNA from 1 species